UGGGGAAUAUUGGACAAUGGGGGCAACCCUGAUCCAGCAAUGCCGCGUAUGUGAAGAAGGCCCUCGGGUUGUAAAGCACUUUUAUCGGGAACGAAACAUUGUCGGCCAAUACCCGGCAAGACUGACGGUACCCGAGGAAUAAGCACCGGCUAACUCCGUGCCAGCAGCCGCGGUAAUACGGAGGGUGCAAGCGUUAAUCGGAAUUACUGGGCGUAAAGCGUGCGCAGGCGGUUUGUUAAGUCUGAUGUGAAAGCCCUGGGCUCAACCUGGGAAUGGCAUUGGAAACUGGGCAGCUAGAGUGCGGUAGAGGGUAGUGGAAUUCCCGGUGUAGCAGUGAAAUGCGUAGAGAUCGGGAGGAACAUCUGUGGCGAAGGCGACUGCCUGGACCAGCACUGACACUGAGGCACGAAAGCGUGGGGAGCAAACA
rnacentral:rRNA from 1 species